AAACUUUACAAUGCGAGCAAUCGUGAUAAGGAAACCCUGAGUGCCUGUCAAUGCAGGCUGUUCUGGUGUCUAACACACACCAGGAGGAAGGGCGGGGCAAGACCGGUGCCAGCCGCCGCGGUAAUACCGGCUGCUCGAGUGAUAGCCGCUUUUACUGGGCUUAAAGCGUUCGUAGCUUGGUCGUUAACUCUCUGGGGAAAUCUUUUGGCUUAACCAAAAGGCGUCUCAGGGAAAGUGGCGAUCUUGGAACCGGGAGAGGUAAGACGUACUUCGGGGGUAGGAGUGAAAUCUUGUAAUCCCCGAGGGACGACCGAUGGCGAAGGCAUCUUACCAGAACGGCUUCGACAGUGAGGGACGAAAGCUGGGGGAGCAAACCGGAUUAGAUACCCGGGUAGUCCCAGCCGUAAACGAUGUGCGUUAGGUGUGUCAGCGACCACGAGUCGCUGAGGUGCCGAAGGGAAACCGUGAAACGCACCGCCUGGGAAGUACGGUCGCAAGGCUGAAACUUAA
rnacentral:rRNA from 1 species